rnacentral:sRNA from 1 species
AUUGGCUGCUAGACUCACUCCAGUGGUGGGCAGCUGGGCGAAAGGCCCUGAAAAUUGCUCUUUUCUCAAAAUUCAGCCUCAUGUAAAUUUACCCUGUGACCUGCCAUGGGGGAUUAGGAUGGGCUGGCCAGGCCAGGCUAGGUGGCCUGAUUUUCCCAUUCAGCUUCUGACCUGGUCUUCUGAAAGUCAGACUCUGGCCCUCUUCAUUAGCCAGCCCAAAUCCUUGCCCCUGGGAAUGCAGGGUGGCUGGCUGUGUAGGUGUUGAUCAUCAUUAGCGAUAAUUAGAGGGCAGAGCUCAGGGAACAAGUUAUGACACCUGCAAACUAGGGGCCUCUGGAAAUGGGACAGAAAAGUUUCUCACUUUGGGGACAAACCAGGGAAGCCUGAUUUGUUGCUGAUACACAGGGUGGUCUCUGUCAACGUUCAGAAGUUCUGGACCCAGCCAAUGUGGUGAAAAUGCCACAGUAACAUAUGACCUGCAAUUUGGGGUUCCAUCAGAUGAUGAAAAUUUUAUGAAGUAUAUGAUGAGUGAGGAGUUGGUGCUGGGCAUUUUGCUACAGGAUUUCCAUGAUCAGAAUAUACCUGGUUGUGAGAGUCUGGGGCUUGAUCCAACAUCCCUCUUGCUCUAUGAAUGAAGUGAUGGAGGCUGGUCUCUGUCUGAAAGCAGUGCUCUACCAAGUCCUGGAGAUGAAGAGAAUUCACUCUGUUUUGCAGAAAAGAUUCUGUGGAUUAAUACAGAAGCACCAGCAACAACCAGAGGGGUGGAGACUCCUUUCUCUCCCGAUUCUGCAGUCUGGCUCCAAGCCCAGUAAAACAGCUCCUGAGCACUGCUUCAGCUGGGUCCAGUCUUGACAAAGGAAGUAGGACUGAAGCCGAAUCCUGAAGCACUGGUGGGAUUUGAAUAAGAAGAUUUGCCUUCCUUUACACAUGUUCGUGUCUUCUUAGGAUGAGGAUGAAGAUGAUACUAUCAAAUUCCUAAUCAGGAAAAAAGCUUUCUGCUGUGUUCCCAGCAAAGGAAAAAUGUUUCCUCACUCUCAAUUCUGGUAAUUUCCUUGGUUCCCUUGUAAUGAAGAACACGUAAGUGUUAUCCCCAGGAAAUCAAGGUACAAGUGUAUGGAAAUUUUACAAAUCAUUUUUUUCAGGUAUGGGUUAGGCAAUAUCAGUAUUUUACUAUAUUCUGAAUUUCUCCAAUUUACAGUAUAUUGCAAUUGUUUGCUCACUUGUCUAUAUUCUACACUAGAAUGUGAGCUUCACAAAGCUGGGGACCAUAUUGAUCUUGUUCAUCGUGGUAUGUAUUUCCAGUCUAUGACACAACAUUUGGCACACAUGUUUUGUAAAUGGGUUUUCAAAAAAUAUUUGAUGAAGAUAUGAAUACAGAAUGAAUAGCCAAGGACAGAACAACCCUGGUGCAGGAGGUCAGCAAAUCUACCACCUUGACUCCAACGACAUAGUUAAAUAACAGGACUUCUCUCUCUUAUAGCACAAAGGCUUAGAAUCUCUCUGCAGUCCUGCAUCUACAUUAAUGUAUAAGUAUCAUUCUGUACAUCUUUCUGAAUUUGAGGCAUAGUCAACUACCUACAUGGUUGAAUGUGAAAGCCCUUUAUAAAGUAGUAUCAGUUACAGUAUGUAAAAACGUUUGGAAAACACCAUCCAAAAAUAUCUCCCCCCAUGAGCUUUCCCAUGAAGUUUCAUCAGGAGGAGCAGUGGAGGAGAGGCUGACUGCAUCGUGACCUUGGCUGUGAUCACCUGCUUGGCUGAGUAUUCUGACAACCUCUAAGAUCUAUGCAUCAUCAAAGCCUUUGGGGCCCAGAGGCACAGCUGCAGCUCUUCCUCUUCUUUAGGUUACCUUCAGUGUGCUUCAGGCCGUUUGCUUACAUUAUCUGUUUUGUUGCUAAGGAAACAUCAUAAGAAAACUACUGAAUCACACCAAGUUAACAAACCAGAUUCACUGAGGAGAAAUGAAUGAGAUAAGAGGAGGGGGAUGAUUUUGAGAGAUAUUCUCUGAACUCCUGAGGCCACAGUUUUUAAAUCUAUAAAAGAGGAUGUAUAUACUGCUUACACAUGGAGUUAUAAGAAUAAGCUGAGGUUAAAUAUGGGCAAAAACGAUCUGUAAGCUGGCUGUUUCUCCUACUUGACUUUUCUGCAGUUUAUUCUUGCAUUUCAACAUGGUGGUUUUGGUUUGGGAUGGGUUCAGAUAGCCUCCAAGAAGCAAGCUAGACAAAUCUCUAUACCCUUAGGCUACGUGUCAGGAAUUUGAGGUAUCUGUCUCUUUCACAAUGCCUUCUCUGGCUCUCUGGUCUACCCAACCUCUCCCUUGUUAUAAUGCCAUGGCCCUUCUGAUUUAUUUCAUCAUUUGAACUGUAUGCCUUAAAAUGUGCCCAAUGAUACCCCUGAAAAUAUGUAAUUCUCAACUUGAACUGAAAAAAUUCACCCUGUUGAAAGGAAUCUCUGGGUCUCCAGCCCCUAACGCGGGCAUUGGUGUUAAAAAAUAACAACAGUGCUUGUUUUUUAAUUGCUCCUCUUUCAAAAUCUCCUCCUGAAACCAUGUGAAAAGCACAGAUAACUUUACAGGCCACAGAAAAACUGACCUUGUCAGCCCUUAGGAUUCUUGGAUUCUGGAACAUUAGUUCCAUAUUUUAAUUAUUCCUUUCCUUAGAGAGAAUUCUUUAGGGCUGGACAUUUGAAAGGUCUGUUCAAAAAGAAUUAAUGAGGUGGUCUUUGUUUAACAACCUCAGGGCAAUCACAAUGGUGUCUCCACAAACUUUCUAAAAAUUGUCGUAACAUGGGGCAUGUGGUCACUUCAGAAAUAGACACCUAUAGCUUAAAAUAAAAUGGCUAGGGUGGAGGUUGAGCACAAAGGUACCUGAGAUAGACAAACAAAAUGACAACAGGAAAUAAGACCUUUUAUUUUAUAACAGGGCAUAACAGGGACUAGCAGGGUCUUAGUUCCUGUUGCUAGGAGUUACAUUAGGCUUCUAGCAAAGUAGCAUAUCUCCUGUCCAAAGUUUUCAAGCAUUUUAUCUUUUGUCCUGUCUUCACAUUUGCUACUAUUGCAACUGCUACUGGUCUAAACAGGGCCCUCUCUCACUGGGAUGUGAAGUCCAGGGCUUGACAUACUUCGUUCUCCUUGGGCAAGGUCUAGGGGGUGUUUGGUUGACUUUGCUCUCACCUGGAUGUUCUCUGUUUGGGGCUUUGCAUUCUCACAUUCCAAGGCAUCUCUUGAGUGUUCUGCUGCCGCCUGAAACUCAACAUAUCAGAAACAGGCUAAGUAUUUCCUAAACAGGCCUGUCACUUCUUUUCAUAAUUUUUCCGACUUUCCUCAUUUCUACUAUUUGUGUGUAACUCAGAAAUUGACUGGUUGCCCUCACACAUGUUAAUACUGUUUCCUCAAGCACAUGUCGCAAGCUACCUUUGAUCUGACAUGCUCUCCAUUGCCACAGCAACAGCCCACUGAUGUUCUCCAACCUCCAUGAACAAGUGAUCCUAAAUCAUCUGAUCCCAGAUAUCCAGGGAUCCUCGUCAUGACCCUUGAGAGUAUCAGUGUCCAGAGAGAGGCCUGAGGUCCUCAGCUACCAUCUCUUUGGUGCAGUUCCAGGAGCUAUGCACAAGUAAUGGGGAAAGGUACUGGCUUUGUCUUGUGUAAAUCACACCAUCUUUCACAGAAAGCAUGGAGGCCCAGAACAAGGGACAGAAGGAGAAGAAAAGGAUUGAAUAAAGAAAAUAAAUUGG